ACCCCGGGAAACUGGGGCUAAUCCCAGAUAGAUGAGAACCCCUGGAAUGGGUCCUCGUCCAAAAGGCAUCAAGAUUAUGCUUCUUGGUGUCGCUCAAGGAUGGGGCCGCGCCCGAUCAGGCUGUUGGUGAGGCAAUGGCUCACCAAACCUAUAACCGGUACGGGCCGUGGGAGCGGGAGCCCGGAGAUGGGAACUGAGACAAGGUCCCAGGCCCUACGGGGCGCAGCAGUUACGAAAACUUGUCAAUGCACGAAAGUGUGAACGGGCUACCCCGAGUGCCGUCCGCUGAGGAUGGCUUUUCUCUGCUGUAAGAAGGCGGAGGAAUAAGGAGAGGGCAAGUCUGGUGUCAGCCGCCGCGGUAAUACCAGCUCUCCGAGUGGUAGGGAUGAUUAUUGGGCCUAAAGCGUUCGUAGCCGGCCUUCCAAGUCUUUCGUUAAAUCCAGCGAUUCAAUCGUUGGACUGCGGGAGAUACUGUUAGGCUAGGGGACGGGAGAAGCCGACGGUAUUUCCGGGGUAGGGGUAAAAUCCUAUAAUCCCGGGAAGACCACCAGUGGCGUAGGCGGUCGGCUAGCACGCGCUCGACGGUGAGGGACGAAAGCUGGGGGAGCAAANCCGGAUUAGAUACCCGG
rnacentral:rRNA from 1 species